AACGAACGCUGGCGGCAGGCCUAACACAUGCAAGUCGAGCGCCCCGCAAGGGGAGCGGCGGACGGGUGAGUAACGCGUGGGAACGUACCCUUUGCUACGGAAUAGCCUCGGGAAACUGGGAGUAAUACCGUAUGUGCCCUUCGGGGGAAAGAUUUAUCGGCAAAGGAUCGGCCCGCGUUGGAUUAGGUAGUUGGUGGGGUAAUGGCCCACCAAGCCGACGAUCCAUAGCUGGUUUGAGAGGAUGAUCAGCCACACUGGGACUGAGACACGGCCCAGACUCCUACGGGAGGCAGCAGUGGGGAAUCUUAGACAAUGGGCGCAAGCCUGAUCUAGCCAUGCCGCGUGAGCGAUGAAGGCCUUAGGGUUGUAAAGCUCUUUCAGUGGGGAAGAUAAUGACUGUACCCACAGAAGAAGCCCCGGCUAACUCCGUG
rnacentral:rRNA from 1 species